AGAGUUUGAUCCUGGCUCAGAACGAACGCUGGCGGCAGGCUUAACACAUGCAAGUCGAACGCAUCGCAAGAUGAGUGGCAGACGGGUGAGUAACACGUGGGAACAUACCCUUUGGUGCGGAACAACAGCUGGAAACGGCUGCUAAUACCGCAUGCGCCCUACGGGGGAAAGAUUUAUCGCCGAAGGAUUGGCCCGCGUCUGAUUAGCUAGUUGGUGAGGUAAUGGCUCACCAAGGCGACGAUCAGUAGCUGGUCUGAGAGGAUGAUCAGCCACACUGGGACUGAGACACGGCCCAGACUCCUACGGGAGGCAGCAGUGGGGAAUAUUGGACAAUGGGCGCAAGCCUGAUCCAGCCAUGCCGCGUGAGUGAUGAAGGCCCUAGGGUUGUAAAGCUCUUUCAGCGAGGAGGAUAAGACGUGCUCUCGGUACAAGCGUACGGGCAAUCA
rnacentral:rRNA from 1 species